rnacentral:rRNA from 1 species
GUAAGGAAUAUUGGUCAAUGGGCGGAAGCCUGAACCAGCCAUGCCGCGUGCAGGAUGACUGCCCUAUGGGUUGUAAACUGCUUUUGUCCGGGAAUAAACCUAAAUACGUGUAUUUAGCUGAAUGUACCGGAAGAAUAAGGAUCGGCUAACUCCGUGCCAGCAGCCGCGGUAAUACGGAGGAUCCGAGCGUUAUCCGGAUUUAUUGGGUUUAAAGGGUGCGUAGGCGGCGCGUUAAGUCAGGGGUGAAAUACGGUGGCUCAACCAUCGCAGUGCCUUUGAUACUGACGUGCUUGAAUCCAUAUGAAGUGGGCGGAAUAAGACAAGUAGCGGUGAAAUGCAUAGAUAUGUCUUAGAACUCCGAUUGCGAAGGCAGCUCACUAAGCUGGUAUUGACGCUGAUGCACGAAAGCGUGGGGAUCGAACAGGAUUAGAUACCCUUGUAGUCC